rnacentral:rRNA from 1 species
AUGGGGGAUCUCGCCGCCGCCGCUGCGGUGGCCCUUGACGACGGCAAGGUAGGAGGCGGCCAGGUACGCCCUCUUCCUUUCCCCGUUCUGAAUCUCCUCCAUAACCCGCUGCAUCUCCUCCCAUCUCAUGUGCCACUGCUUGCUUUGCUUUCUUCCUUCCAUGGGCAGAUGCAGAUCUCAUCUCUUCUUGUUCUGCACGGGCCAGACCACGACCACGGCAAGCGAAAGGAUGCACGACGGGCUGGACGACAAGGUGGAGAUCCUAGACACACGGAGGGGCUACCAAACCGGUGUUGCGGCAAGAACGACUCCGCAGCCCAUACAGGAGGUGGACUGCAUACUGGAACUGCCUCACAUUGGAUGAAAAAUUUGGUUAUUAGUAUUGUUGAUCCCGACCAUGAGCUUGAAUGACUUGUGGUGACGAAGAGCAAGGCCGAGAAGGACUCCAACAAGCCCAAGCGCCCUCUGAGCGCCGUCUUAGUCCUCAUGGACAGCUUCAGGAAGGACUCCAACUUCAAGCAUGUCCCCAUGGUUGGCAAGGGCGGUGGAGAAGGCUCCCUAAUUGCCAAGGCCAAGUACACCAAGAAGAUCGACACCUACGACAACCCACUGGCAGGAGAGGCGUCUGACGACUCUGACAAGUUCUAG